rnacentral:rRNA from 1 species
AACGAACGCUGGCAGCAUGCCUAACACAUGCAAGUCGAACGAGAUCUUCGGGUCUAGUGGCGCACGGGUGCGUAACGCGUGGGAAUCUGCCCUUUGGUUCGGAAUAACAGUUGGAAACGACUGCUAAUACCGGAUGAUGACGAAAGUCCAAAGAUUUAUCGCCAGAGGAUGAGCCCGCGUAGGAUUAGCUAGUUGGUGUGGUAAAGGCGCACCAAGGCGACGAUCCUUAGCUGGUCUGAGAGGAUGAUCAGCCACACUGGGACUGAGACACGGCCCAGACUCCUACGGGAGGCAGCAGUGGUGAAUAUUGGACAAUGGGCGAAAGCCUGAUCCAGCAAUGCCGCGUGAGUGAUUAAGGCCUUAGGGUUGUAAAGCUCUUUUACCCGGGAUGAUAAUGACAGUACCGGGAGAAUAAGCUCCGGCUAACUCCGUGCCAGCCGCCGCCGUAA